rnacentral:lncRNA from 1 species
AUGAUAAAUCAUUCCCAUAGUCAUACAAUAAAAGUAAAUAACAUUUCUACUGUUCCAAACACACAUAAAACGUCAAAAAAAUGCAGUCUCUUUAAUUAAUUAUUGGCAAAUAGCUAGAAAUCUUUCAAAAUGCGGUCCAUUCAUUUCGCGGUUGCGGUUGCGGUCUCUUCGUUUUGUUGAAGCUCGCCAGCAUCUCUACAAUGGUGCAAUCCACUUUACAAUGCACUGUGCAGUGCCCAUUGCACUUUCUUUUCCACUGCCCUGGCAUUAUCAGCAGAAUCCGCAUAUGUUUGACAAUAUUUUUCCGCGUAUGUUGCAAAUGAUAUAAAUUCUUCAAGCGUCACAUCCUUCUUGCCCUUGUUUCUUCUUCUGGCAGCAGCAGUGGCGGGAGUAGCAGCACCACACCGAUGACAACGCCCAGCCUUCCACCUCACAGCAGCAAACAGAUGCACUCAAUGCAUCUGAGCCAAUGUCACUGACAGAUGCACUCAAUGCAUUAGGUGACAUCGAUUUCACCUGCAAGUUCAAAAUACAGAAAUUUAAUUUAAGCACAAGUGAGGGAAGGAAAAGACCAAUUUAGAUGGUAAGUACUGAAACAUCAAUACAGCACUCAAAAAGAGAAAUAUGUAAUAAGAACCACUUUACUAACCGCCUUAAUCAAGCGUUCAAGAGGCUGCUCGGUAACACUCGAUUUGCCAGAAAUAGUUGACAAAGCAUUAACAUGACUAGCAUCUGGUACAAUAAAUUCAGCAAGCAAAGGAGAUGCCAACAUCCCACUAGUGCCAAUUGCAAGGGACUGGACUGGUGCUCCCACCCCAGCUGCUUGUUGAUGUCCGAUAUUCCCAGCAUUUGGUAGUGAGGAAGGUUUCUCAGAAUCCCCUGGCAUGGGGGAUGGAACCAUGGGAGUUGAAGGAGAUGGGAUGACAACAGGUGAACCGGCAGUUUGCAAUGGUGUUCCAGCUUUCAGGUGAGUCAGUAGAUUCUUGUGGUCAACUUGGGGAGAAGAAUGUUGCGAAAUUUGACGAGAUGCAGCCUGAAUGAGUUGGUUUGAUGAUGGAAUAGGAAAUGGAGAUCCUAAUUUCAACUGCUGAUGUGGAUAAGCACGCUGGCCUGCGGAUAUAUGUUGCUGAAAAACCCCUGGCUUAACACCCAUCCCCUGUCUCAUCUUCAAGUCAUUUGCAUCAUUCAUUUGAUGAAGCAGUGGCAUUUGGUGUUGGUUCGCCUCCAUCUGCGCCGGAAGCUGCUGCUUUGCUUGCUGCAACUGUUGCUGCUGCUGUUGCUGUUGCAGUAUCUGCUGCUUCUGUAUCAAUUGCUGCUGCAUUCGCUGUUGAUACUGUUGCUUCAGUUGAUUCUGAAACAUUUGCUGUUCCUGCUGUUUUAAUUGCUGGUGUUGAAGCAUACCAGAAUUUGACUGAAGGGAGAUAAUAUUUGGCUGAAGCAUACUAACCCCACUCUGCGAUGACAGACCAUUCAUGUUAGCUUGCUGGGGAGCACUGACAGGAGUUUGUUGGAUAGAUCCCACCGGAACUUGCUGCAAAGAGUUCGGUGCAUUUCCCUGUCCUGAAUCCAAAUUUGUACUUGGCUGCAAUGAAUUCAUCAUGUUGCUGUGCUGUUGAAACCCCAGAAAUCGAAGACAUUGAAUUUUGCUCCGAGCUUGUCAUAUAGUUCUGCUGCAUUGUUGGCACAGAACCUUGUAAAUUCAUUGUUUGCAACUGCGGGUUCAUUUGAUUUUCAUGAGACUGCACUUGACGAAUUUGAGACUGCGGCUGCUGCAUGGAGUGCAUAUGAGGUGGGGGGAACUGCCCUUGUUGCAGAGGAUCUUGCUUCCGUGGUCUAUUUGUAUUAAUAAAAUUUACUAUCUGCUUCUCAUAUAAACCCAAAUUAUCUUUCAAACCAGGUGAAACAUUACUCUUGGAAAUCUGUAAGACUGAUAUGAGGCGCUCUAACAUGGUUUUGAACAUUUUUAGCUUCUCAAGCUGCUCUGACUUUGGUUGUUGUGGAAGAGAAUCGUGCUGGCAAACAGAAAGAACAGACGUCAGUAAGCAAAAGAAUGGCAAUAUAAGGAGUAACAACUUUGUUGCGAAAUCUUAUUAGCAUUAUUGGUGAGGUAACAAUCCCAUGUAGACGGUCUACAUGGGUACAAUAAUUAAAAGGGAGAUCAAGGUAGAAUCUAUCAAAGAGUAGCACCACAAUAACCUAGCAGGGAAAGCCCCGCUUAUUGCUAAAAGUUCAAGCAACAAAUUAUGAGAGAAGAAAAAAUUGAAUUGAUUACAUACCUGCUGAAGUUUAGUAGCAAUUUUCUGAUACAUUUCACUUAGUUCGGGUAAGUACCUUUCCUUCAUGACUUUGAUCUGCAAAUGAAAGUUACAAUACAAAGAUGAUUAGAAAGAACUUUGCUGCAGCUACAUGCUUGCCGACACCAUCAUAACAUCAAUGCCAAUGGAAAAGAGCCCGUGCAUGCAACCAUGAAUUCAUGUAUGCUUGUAUCUAAUGAAGCAAGUUUUAAUUAACUCCCAACCGAUGGUAGCUUAACAAAGCUGUCCCACAGGGAAUCUUAACUAGCAUGUAAUUCUUCAAAAUCCCCAUUCAAGGCAAUUUUGGCAUUAGUAUAAUUCUUUUCCAGUAGCUCUAUUCCCACCCCCAAGCCAAAUAAUUUGUAUUUUUAUAUUUAGAUGUUGUAUGUGAAAGCCAUCAAAUGGACAAGAAGGCAGGACAUCUUACUUUUUGAUAGACCUCCUCUUGCCAAUCACCCCCAUUUGCAUGUCCAGCCUGAGCUGAGGAAUCCAGAGAAGCUGCAAAAUAUAGAGAGAUAUAUGUCAAUGUUUGCACAUAAAAUGAAAUUUGAACACGAGGGUUUAAAAUGAGAAAGAAAAAAAAAAAAAAAAGCAUUGCAAGCAGAACAUUACAACAACAACAACAACAAAGCCUUUUCCCACUAAGUGGGGUCGGCUAUAUGAAUCCUAGAACGGCAUUGCGCGCGGUUUUGUGUCAUAUCCUCCGUUAGAUCCAAGUACUCUAAGUCUUUUCUUAGGGUCUCUUCCAAAGUUUUCCUAGGUCUACCUCUACCCCUUCAGUCCUGAACCUCUAUCCCGUAGUCACAUCUUCGAACCGGAGCGUCAGUAGGCCUUCUUUGUACAUGUUCAAACCCAUUUUGUGUACGUGUUGAUGCUUCACCUCCCAACGUUUUGUGCCAUACAGCAUCGCCGGCCUUAUUGCCGUCCUAUAAAAUUUUCCCUUGAGCUUUAGUGGCCUACGACAGUCACACAACACGCCGGAAGCACUCUUCCACUUCAUCCAUCCAGCUUGUAUUCUAUGGUUGAGAUCUCCAUCUAAUUCUCCGUUCUUUUGCAAGAUAGAUCCUAGGUAGCGAAAACGGUCGCUCUUUGGUAUUUCCUGAUUUCCGAGCCUCACCCCUAACUCAUUUUGGCCUCCAUUUGCAAUGAACUUGAACUCCAUAUAUUCUGUCUUUGAUCGGCUUAGGCGAAGACCUUUAGAUUCCAACACUUCUCUCCAAAAGUUAAGCUUCGCAUUUACCCCUCCUGAGUUUCAUCUAUCAACACUAUAUCGUGUGCGAAAAGCAUACACCAAGGAAUAUCAUCUUGAAUAUGUCCUGUUAACUCAUCCAUUACCAACGCAAAAAGGUAAGGACUUAAGGAUUGUUGAUGCACAAAAUUAGUGAGGACUUUGGUACAACAGAAAGUAUUAAGUUUGUGAUCUUCGCUAGAUUGCUCUGGUCAUUAGUGUGGAUAAGUAUGUAAAUGGAUAGAGACAGGAAAGCAAACACAAGAUGUACGUGGUUCACCCAGAUUGGCUACGUCCACGGAGUAGAGGAGUUCUCAUUAAUUGUGAAAGGUUUACGUAAGUACAUAGGUUCAAGAUCUCCUUUAGUGAGUACAAGUGAAUGAUUUAGUACAAAUGACAUAGGUGCAAGCUCUCGUCUUCACUUGCCUUAACUGUCUCAUAGGUAGAUGUGGCAUCUUCUCUGUAAGUACGCUUCUUCCAUCCAGGGGUGGUAUCUUUAACUGGUGGAGAUACAUAAGGUAAUGUAUCAAUUUCACUUGAAGCUUAUUUGUAGUUUCAGGCUUGGUCAAGCGCGAUACAAACCAUGUAGUAGGAGUCCCCCAAGUCGUUGAGCUAGGGGAUCUGCUGAAAGAGGUGACAGACAAGGUAAGCAAUCAGAGCUCCAAGCAAUCAGUCCCAGAUCAGAAGUUUGAUUUCGAGUUCUGGCUGAUUGUUCUCAUUCUCCCUAUCUUGCAGGCAGCAUGAAGGAUAAAAAGAAGAAAAGGAGAAUAGACGAUAUGAGAUACUUUUGCUUUUGAAGAAGUAACUUUCCACAGACUUAUUCUUGAACUGGGCUGGAGGAUUUUCUAGUUUCCUCCAUAGUAUAAGGCCGACUGAAGAAUUUGAGGGUCAAAACACGUCCAUCAAAUCUAGAGUACAUUCGACCCUGCUGAUAUGGGAUACUUUUGUUGUUGACAAAGUAGUGGAUGUAUCGGCACGUGUUCUGUUACGCUUGUCUCCACAUGCUUCCUUGUAUCCUUCUCACUUUCCCUAUCUGUUCCUCAGGCAGAUGUGGUAUCUUCUCUGGAAGCAUAAGAUGUUGAAGAUGGGUACUCGAGAGCAAUGUCAGGUAAGUAAUCAGGUAAGGGGUUCCAGGCAGUCAGUUCCUGACUAGAAGCUUGAUUCCAAGUGCUGACUGAUUGCUCUCUCCUUGUCUUGCAGGUAAGAACAAGGCCAAAGGAAAAGACAGGGAAAAAGCAUGAUAUGGGAUACUCUUGCUUUUAACCCUGAUGAUAUGAGAUAUUCUUGCUCUGGUGUAGCUUGUUUGCAGAGGUAUUAUUGGGGGGAAAGAAAGCUGAGUAUUUCGAGAGGCUUCGUUGGGAGUGCCCUCUCAAAUAUGAAGAAGGGUUGAGCAUUUUUGCAGGUCUGCCUGUCCGUUGAGGAUGGAGGUCGACAUAUAUAGGAGUUCCCCUAACAAUAAGUAGUAAUGUUAUUCCUUUACCCUGCUUGGUCAUAGCACGGUAGUGGGAGCUGCCAGCUUCACGUGUGUCAGAGCACUUUGAAAAAAUGGUCUGUGGUAUCCGGAAAGCUAAUGUUGAGUGUGAAGAUUACAGACAAGCUUUAUCCAAGGAGAUCUGGCUCUCAAAGUUGAGAAAGCGGUGCCUCUUCGGUUUUCGUACAAGCAAUCCUGUCGAGGAUCUGGCUCUCGAGAUUCGAAAAACGGUGCCUCUUCGAUUUUUGAGAGAGCAAUCCUGCAGGGAGUCUAGCUCUCGAGAUUCGGAGAGCGGUGUCUCUUCGAUUUUUGAGAAAGUAAUCAUGUUGGGAGUCUGGCUCUCGAGAUUCAGAGGACGGUGCCUCUUCGAUUUUGGAGCAAGCAAUCUUGUUGGGAGUGUUUUCUCGAAUGUAAGUAAAGGUUGGGCAUGUUUGCUAGUCUACCUUGCCACAGAGCACAGAGGUUGACACACAAGGACUUUCCAAUUAUCCAGCAGCGGUGCUGUUCCUUUACCCUUGUAGGUAAUAAUAUGGUAACUAGACCUUCAAAAUUUAUGUGUCUAAACUUUGUUAGUGCUGUUUCUUUGCUAUUCUUUUACUCUUCUUGGUCAUAGCGAUGUAGUGGGAGCUGCAAGCUUCACGUGUCUAAACUUUGUCAGAGAUCUUUGGCAAAGUUAUCUGUGGUACCCAUGAGCUGAUGGUGCGUGUGGAAAGUGGAUAAUUGAACAGUAAGAUUCACGUGCUUUCUACUUCACCAGAAAUCUUCAACAGAAUGCCCGUAAUUUCAGCAAAGCUGAGUGUGCAUGUGACAGGUGCUGACAAGGCUGAAAAAAGCAGGUGCCUCUUCGAUUUCUGAGAUCGGCCCUCGUGGUCUCUGAGCAGCCCAGCUUUUGAGAAAGCAAACGCCUCUUCGAUUUCUGAGAUCGGCCCUCGUGGUCUUUGAGCAGCCCAGCUUUUGAGAAAGCAAACGCCUCUUCGAUUUCUGGGCAGGCGCCUCUUCGAUUUCUGAAGCUCCGUCGAGUGCAGAUUUUUAUAGAGGCUAGCAUUAAGUUCCAAAGCACACUUGAAUCUUUACCAGUAGAAGCUCCCUUCUUGCACUUAUAAGAUCUUGAUUUGUCCGACCUCUUCUCUCUUCAACACCUUUGAAAAUGUCUGGCCCCUCCGACCGUCGUUUUGACUUGAACCUCGUUGAAGAGGCAGCCACGCCUUCUUCAGACAACAUAUGGCGCCCAUCCUUCUUAUCCCCUACUGGUCCGCUUACCGUUGGGGAUUCCGUGAUGAAGAAUGAUAUGACUGCUGCGGUGGUGGCCAGGAACCUUCUCACUCCCAAAGAUAAUAGACUACUUUCCAAAUGGUCUGAUGAGUUGGCUGUUAAGGAUUCUCUGGUUCUAAGUGUUCAGUGUGCAUGUUCUGUGUCUAAUAUGGCCCAACGCCUAUUUGCUCGAACCCGCCAAGUUGAAUCAUUGGCAGCUGAAAUGAUGAGUCUCAAAUAGGAGAUUAGAGGGCUCAAGCAUAAGAAUAAACAGUUGCACCAGCUCGCACAUGACUAUGCUACAAACAUGAAGAGGAAGCUUGACCAGAUGAAGGAAUCUGAUGGUCAGGUUUUACUUGAUCAUCAGCGGUUUGUGGGUUUGUUCCAAAGGCAUUUAUUGCCUUCGUCUUCUGGGGCUGUACCGCGUAAUGAAGCUCCAAAUGAUCAACCUUCGAUGCCUCCUCCUUCUAGGGUUCUGUCCAGUACUGAGGCUCUGAGUGAUCCCCCUCCGGUGCCUUCUCUUUCUGGGGCUCGACCGACUGCUGAGACUUCUCCUAAGCAACCUUUGUGAAGGCUCCCUCUUGUUUGUUUAUUUUGACUCAUGUAUAUGUACAUAUUUGUAACUUAUCGGAGAUAUCAAUAAAUAAGCUUUGCUUCAUUUCAAUGUAUUGUGUUAAAUACACCAAAGGUAUGAAAGGCACUUCAGGUGCAAUUUUGCUCCUACUUUCAACUUAUGAGGGCAAUUACUUUUUUAUGGGAAGACUUCAAAGGUUUCUUUUUCUUUGUUUAAAAGUAAUUGUGGAGUUAUCAAGAGGAAAUGGGUUAACAUUAUGUCAGAAUAGCGUCUCUAUCACCAUAUCUCAUGGAAAGACAAGAUACAAAAACUAAAAUCAAAGGCAACAGAAGCUUCAGCUUUCACCAGAAAAUCACUCGUAAAGAACUCAGAUUGUAAACAUUAAGCAAGAGAGGUGAAAGGUAAACUUAUGGUAAUUAAGGUGGUCCGUAUACCAAAUUUGAGGUGUAGGCGCAAAACUCGUAACUAGGCUAUUUAUAUAUAUAUUCUAUUCUCUUAGUCGGGUUUAAUAACUAUUUUCUUAUCCUUGUGGAUUAUUAUUUGCUAUAAUUAAUUCAUUUCCUUUUGGGAUUUUACUUUUAGAUUAUAUAACCACAUCAAUCUCUAUUACUCAACCCUAGUUCAGCCUAUAUGGAUAUUCAGAAUGCAAGACUAACUUUGAAUUUAUUUUUUCUUUCAGUUUGGGAUUUAGCUUUUUAUCUUCCCUCCCCUGUGCUGCAACAUACAAGACUAACUCUGUUCCUUUUAUAUAAAUCCAAUUACCAAAUAUAAAUCACAAAAUUUUAUGUACACUACCACUACACAUAUCAACCUCUAAAAAGAAAAGCAAGAAAUCAAGAAAGACCAAGGCUUGCUUUAGCCCUAUAGUUUAAUGUGACCAGAUAUUUGCAUAGGACUCUGGUUCUCCAUUCCAUGAUGGUUAGAUGCUGAAGUACUGGAAAGAACAGAAGUCGUCAUGUUUGAAAGAGAGGCAUGAUGCAUCUAUUUAAAAGUGUUGGUGACAACGAACAUGUGGUGGGAAGAUGGGACACACCUACUUGGCAAGAUAGCCAGGCAUAAAAAUUUCUAUUGACUAAGUCCAAUGCACAUCCAUGUUACAUUUUAAUACAAGAAGUCAUAUAUGGCAAAGAUAAAAUUCCAAAAUUAGACUACUUCCAUAGAGAGUCUAGACACCUACAUCUGGCAACCACAACAAAAUAAUAUAUUUACCAAGGUCAUCCAAAAAAAAAGUGUGCCCCAUAAAAACAUAUAAUAAAGACCAUUUUCAUAACAAAAUCAAAUUAAUGACAUAAAAAUGACAGUAUUACCUAUAAUACAAUAUGAUAAACAGACCGAAAUCACAUAAUACAAAAGUAAAAUAAGAAUAAAAUAAGAUUCCGUCCAAAAUGUGCACCUAUGAUAAUCUAGAUAUCAUGAAAGCACAUGCAUAAAAUCAGGAAAGUGCAUAAGUGCAAAAAUCGUACUCGAUGAUGUCUCAGCAAGGGGUCUCUGAGAUUGAUAUAACUGCUUUUGCUGAUCCAUUACAUUUUGAGCUUGAAGCAUGGUUCCUGAUAUCUGACCUGAUGCUUGAAGCCUUUGCUGCAUAUCUCGUUGCAGUGGAUUUGACUGCUGUUGCAAACCCAUUUGUUGCAUCUGUGGCUGUGAUUGAAUCUGUGACAUCAUUUGUUGCUGUGAUGCUUGCGGUUGUGACUGCUGUCCUUGAGUCGGUAACAUGUUAGAUGCAUUCGGAUGUUGUUGCUGCUGCACCUGAACCUUGGAUUGUUGCAACAAGUGUACAGAGUGCUGAUUUGGUUGCAUACUAGAAUUACCACUUUGAGUUCCAAGGUGCUGCUGUUGCUGUAAUCCGGUAACAUUACUCUGAGAGCCCAACUGUUGCUGAUGCAUAUUUGAAAGGUUGCUUUGCUGCUGUUGCUGUAACCCAGUAACAUUACUCUGCGGGCCCAAUUGUUGCUGAUGGAUAUUAGAAAGGUUGCUUUGCUGAGCCAUUAACUGCUGCUGCUGCUGCUGUUGUUGCUGUUGCUGCUGCUGCUGCUGCUGCUGUUGCUGUUGCUGUUGUUGCAGGUUUAAAAGAUUAUUCUGCUGGUUUAGUAACCUCUGUUGUUGCUGCUGCUGCAUAUCCCCGACAUUAGUUUGUUGUCCAAUCAUCUGAUUCUGGGACAAGUUUGAAGCAGUUGGCUGCUGCUGCUGCGGGGUUAAUAUUGGCUGUUGUGCCAUUGGUGUUUGCUGUUGAUGAACAGCUACCUGUUGAGGCUGCUGUUGCUGCCUGAGAACUGGCUGUGAAUGCUGCGGAAGCAUGGGUUGUGAUGACUGUUGCAUAGCAGAUUGUUGAUUCUGCUGGACAGAUGAUUGCACUGAAGGCUGCAUAACAGACGAUGUUGGCAUAACAGAUUGCUGGGAAGAUUGCAACUGAGUCGGUUGUAAAAGGUUCUGCUGCUGUUGCUGUUGCUGUUGCACAAGUUGUGGCAUAUUUCCCUGCUCAUAUUUUGGCUUCAAAAGCGAAUGUUGCAUCUGUUGAUGGUACAUAUACUGCUGGGAAUUCUGGGAAUUCUGGGAUUGCUGCGGCUGCUGCUGUUGGGGAGCUACCUGUUGCCUUCCUGGCAUUUGCCUUUGAGAAUUAGCAAAGACAUUGGAGGGUACCCCCUGGCCCAUGGAAUUCCCUAAUGAAUUCUGUGAACUUCCAGACAUAUUUUGCAUGUUUGGGUUUUGUCCACCUAUACUUGGGAUAGGAGUCUGGGUUAAACCGGAAGAAGGAGGUAGUGCAGAUGAUAAGCCAGACGAACUUUGAACUCCAGCAGGUGGAAUGUUAUUCUGAAUGCUCUGUGAUAAAAGUGGUUGGCGUCCUUGAGAUUGAUUAGCUGGUAACGGCAUAGAGAGUGAUUGCCCAUGAUUGGGGACUUGGGGUUGCAUACCUUGAUUGGGAACUUGGGGUUGCAUACCAAAAGACCCUAUUCAAGUAAAAUAGCAAGAAUAAACACCACAUAGCAAGCGUCAAAACAAGAAUACAAUAAAUGUCAUCCGGCGUGUUGUGUGACCGUCGUAGGCCACUGAAGCUCAAGGGAAAAUUUUAUAGGACGACAAUAAGGCCAGCGAUGUUGUAUGGCACAGAAUGUUUGGUGGUGAAGCAUCAACCCGUACACAAAAUGGGUGUAGCGGAGAUGAGGAUGCUUCGUGGGAUGUAUGGGCACACGAGAAAUGAUAAGAUUGGGAAUGAGGAUAUCCGAGGUAAAGUAGGAGUAGCCAAAAUUGAAGGAAAUAUGAGAGAAAAUCGGUUCCGGUGGUUUGGACAUGUGCAAAGAAGGCCUACUGACGCUCCGGUUCGAAAAUGUGACUACGGGACAGAGGUUCAGGACCGAAGGGGUAGAGGAAGACCUAGGAAAACUUUGAAAGAGACCCUAAGAAAAGACUUGAGUACUUGGAUCUAACGGAGGACAUGACACAAAACCGAGCGCAAUGGCGUUCUAGGAUUCAUAUAGCCGACCCCACUUAGUGGGAAAAGGCUUUGUUGUUGUUGUUGUUGUUGUAUUUGACCCAUUAAAUACAAGUGAAUAAAGAUAUCAAGAACGAAUCAUCUCAGUUAAGAAAUGCAGGAAUAAUUAAGAAAAAGAAAGUACGUUUCAUUAGUUGUUUUUACCCGGAUCAGGGGGCCUGUUGCUGUUACCCGCAGAGUUAGAUUGUAAAGGAUUGCCCAUUGAAUUCUGAGACUUGGUCUCCAUUGUGAGCAUCUUCAGAGAAAUUUUCCGUAGAUAAUCCGACUACAAAAUUAAAAAAUCCAUGCUAAAUUUAGAAUACAGUUCUAUCCAAAAUAUGAAGAAAGUUCAAGCAUAGACAACAUAUUUUUAAGAAGUCAUAUAUGUAAUAGAUAGGUAAGUAUUUAAGUACGCAAACAUUACAUGCACCAUAAGAAAUAAGAACUCUGGUAUUAUGGAAGCACCUGGCUUGUGGCUGCAGUAUAAAUCUUUUCCUCAAACCUUACAGCAAUUUUACUGAGUUCCUGUAAUCCAUCUUGUCCGGAGAAGGGAAGAUGCCUCUUCAACGUAUCCAUUCUAUACAUGCAAUAAAACCAACAUCAGUUACAGACUACCAAAAUGGGGGUAGCGUUCAUAAUAGCAAAGCUGGAUUAGACUACCGCUUGAAACAAAAAAAGUUCAACAAAGAAAAACACUUACAUCUUGUUGACAAUUCUUUGCCUCGAAUCAGCCUGCAGCUGACUCCUCCAAUCGCCGGCAUCCAUGGCAGCCUCUCCAACUUGAGAAGGCCUCCACUUAUUGGUAUCCAUCAAAUCCAAUCAACCCAACAAAACUGCCAAAAACAAAAGUACAGGACUGAGCAACUUCAACGAAAACCUACGAAAAGGGCACAAAAAAUUCGUACAAGAGCUAGCUAUUCGGACGACGAUACAGUUUAUAAUUACGCAGGCAUUUUUUUUGCAUCAGAAAUUGCAUUCAUUCAAGCUGAUUCUAAACACGAUUUAGGCGCCAUGAAAAAUCAAAACUUGCAAUUCAAUUCACAUACAACCGAAAACCAGAUACAAUUUACACAAUCAGAUCACAAAAACACCAACAAUAACGAAUUUUCCACAAAACCCACGAUCGAUCAACAUCUAAAACAAAAAACCCAACAAAAAUUGACCAAAAAGUUACCUCUUUUCUUUCAGAACAGGAGAGUUGAAGAUUGAAAGGUUCAGGUUGCCUGGAGUCAAACAAUGGAGAAAUUGCAGAACAGGGAAAUCGGGGGAUUGGGAAAGGAAGGAGGGUUCUUGCUCAAAAGCUUCAAACUUUGACAAGAUUUAAUGGAUUGAUGUGUUAGUAGGAAGGGAGAGCAACGAAAUAUCCUGUUUUAACCAAUGUCUGAUUUUUUUUUAGGUUUUUUUUUUAAAUUUGAAUUUUUCAGGGACAAAAAGACAAUAAAACCAUUGGCCUUAGGAAUUUAUAAGUUGCCACUUACCACUUUAUCCUAAUCCUAGGCUUUCUUGUCAAAUACCAAUUGGAUAGGAAUAUUUCCAACUGAGUCAAAAGAACAAAGUAGUCUUAUUUAUAACUAGCUUCUUGGUACGCGCUCAAAUGCGCGAAUUAACUUUUAAACGUCAAUUAAUGUAUUAGCAUUUCAUUAGUUUUACGUCUUAUAUCAUCACUUUGAAACUUAUUUAUUUGUACUAAAUAAGAAACUACUAUAUAUAGUUGGUGUAAUAAGUUUGUGUCUUUAGCAUUAUUGAUGUAAAUAGACUGAUUUUCUUAUAUUCUUUUAUUUUAAAUUUAUUAGUUAUAUAACUUUACACUUUAUUGCUUUUCAAUGAAGACAGAACAAGGAGGAGAUCAAUUAUUCCUCAAUUAAUCUACUUCAUUAUUCCUCAAUCUGCUUCUUGACCAUUUUGGUAUUAGAUUCCAUAUAGUAAAGCGUCAUGUAACUUUCAUUUUCAUGUGUUAAUAAAUGUAAGAAUCUAAAUGAUUUUGCAUGUGAUUGGCAUGAAAUCCAAAUGUCCUCUUUAGUUCAAUAUAACAACCUCUUGUCCCGCGAGAUUUUGAAACCAUUACCUCCUCUGACGACAGGGCCGGUCUAGAGAUUUUUGAGGCCCGGGACGACGUAAAAAAAAGUGCCCUAACUUCAUGUAAGAAAAUUAUUUAUCUUCACACAUAAGACAUCGAAAAAAUUAUACUUAGAAAAACACUUCAAACUUAAUAAUUUAGAAACACAUAAAAACUAAUUUAUUUUGUAUUGAGAGAGGGAAACAAAAAAACUUCGGGCUUACAAGAAGAUAGAUGAUGAGUUUUGUUUUCCAUUUGAACUUUGAAUGUGUUUUUGAAUAAAUCGUGAUGUGUUUUUUUUCUUAUUUACUAACCUUGUCAAUAUGGGACUAAAAAAUAAUGAUGUUUUCGAGUUUUACUAAAUUAAACAUUUUGAUGACACGUCAUAUAAUUUGCAAAUUUGGUAUACGUAAUAUUCUUUGUUGAAGAUUAGACUUGAAUUAAAACGAAUAUUUAAAAAUAACAACCCACAUAGCUACUAGAUAGUAACUAAAUAUAAAUUACCAACCAAACAAAAAUUUGUAAAAAUUGAAAAGAAUAAACAUGCACAUAGCAUUUCGAACUUAGGACCUCUUGUUAAUUUUAACAACAAAAAUCAUUGUUUCUAAUUAAACUUCUUUAUCCUUUAACCAAAUUUUCUAAAUUUAUACUCUUAUAAAACGAAAUUUGUAAAAAAAAGGAAAGUAAAUAAGCACACAUGAUGUUUUGAACACAAGACCUCCUUAUUAUUUUUAAAUGACAAACCACCACUUCUAGUUAAAUUUCUGUGUCUUUGAAUCAAAUUUUAUAAAUUUAUACUCUUAUAAAAACAUAUAUAAAUAUAUCGCCCUAAUAAUUUUGGUGCCCCUAAUUUUUUUGGGCCCUGGACGGUCGCCCCUUCUGCACUGGGCCUGGGCCGGCCCUGUCUGACGAAAUGGAGAUCAAAAACCCAUUAGUACAAAGGUAGAAUACAACCAAACUCUAGGUAUAGCAAUUUUUGUUCUCUCUAACAAAAGCCAACAAAUGCAGAUGACGCUUUACCAUAGUGACGAAAAACAAUUAUGUCUACGCACCCCAACCAACCUCCUCACCCCUAACAAAGGCCAAUACAUUGAUAUCGUCUACCCUUCUAAAGUCAUCACAUUUUUAUUCAGAGAAUGGAGGAGAGAAGCUGAAGUAGCGUAUGAGGCCACGAGAACAUGGAAAUUCAGACCAAAGGAGCAUAAAAACCAUAUGGAAAAGAUGAUGAUGCAUGUGGAACAAUUGACAAACUUGAUAGAAAAGAUGUGAUGGGCAAACACGACGCCUUUUCAGGUUGGAGGGGGCCUUUGUGGUCUGAGAGAGAGAGAGGGAGAGAGAGAGAGAGAGAGCUCCUCUAAUUCAAUCAUAUAAAAGUAAAACUGAUGAUAAAUCAUUCCAAACACACAAAUAACGUUAUAAAAAUGCAGUCUCUUUAAUUAAUUAUUGACAAAUAGCUUGAAAUCUUUCAAAAUGCGGUCCAUUCAUUUUGCGGUUGCGGUUGUGAUUUCUUCGUUUUGUUGAAGCUCGCCCAGCCUCUCAACAACGGUGCAAUCCACUUUACAUAUGAGGAGGUGGGGGGAGCUGCCCUUGUUGCAGAGGAGGACCUUGCUUCCUCGGUCUAUUUGUAUUAAUAAAAUUUACUAUCUGCUUCUCAUACAUACCCAACUUCUCUUUCAAACCAGAUGUAAUGCUACUCUUGGGAAUCUGUAAGACUGAUAUGAGGCGCUCCAACAUGGUUUUGAACAUUUUUAGCUUCUCAAGCUGCUCUGACUUUGGUUGUUGUGGAAGAGAAUCGUGCUGGCAAACAGAAAGAACAGACGUCAGUAAGCAAAAGAAUGGCAAUAUAAGGAGUAACAACUUUGUCGCGAAAUCUUAUUAGCAUUAUUGGUGAGGUAACAAUCCCAAUUAGACAGUCUACAUGGGUACAAUAAUUAAAAGGGAGAUCAAGGUAGAAUCCAUCAAAGAGCAGCACCACAAUAACCUAGCAGGGAAAGCCCCGCUUAUUGCUAAAAGUUCAAGCAACAAAUUAUGAGAGAAGAAAAAAUUGAAUUGAUUACAUACCUGCUGAAGUUUAGUAGCAAUUUUCUGAUACAUUUCACUUAGUUCGGGUACGUACCUUUCCUUCAUGACUUUGAUCUGCAAAUGAAAGUUAUAAAUACAAAGAUGAUUAGAAAGAACUUUGCUGCAGCUACAUGCUUGCCGAUACUCAUGAAUUCAGACAGCAUGAAUUCAUGUAUGCUUGUAUCUAAUGAAGCAAGUUUUAAUUAACUCCCAACCGAUGGUAGCUUAACAAAGCUGCCCCACAAGGAAUCUUAACUAGCAUGUAAUUUCUUCAAAAUCCCCAUUCAAGGCAAUUUUGGCAUUAGUAUAAUUAUUUUCCAGUAGCUCUAUUCCCACCCCCACGCCAAAUAAUUUGUGUUUUUAUAUUUAGAUGUUGUAUGUGAAAGCCAUCAAAUGGACAAGAAGUCAGGACAUCUUACUUUUUGAUAGACCUCCUCUUGCCAAUCACCCCCAUUUGCAUAUCCAGUCUGAGCUGAGGAAUCUAGAGAAGCUACAAAAUAUAGAGAGAUAUAUAUGUCAAUGUUUGCACAUAAAAUGAAAUUUGAACACGAGGGUUAAAAAUGAGAAAGAAAAAAAAAAGCAUUGCAUGGAAAACAUUGAUAUGGAAAAUUAUCCUUCCCAAACAGUUGAGGUGCAAUUUUGCUCCUACUUUCUGCUUAUGACAGCAAUUACAUUUUUAUGGGAAGACUUCAGGUGCAAUUUUGCCCUUGAUUGGGGACUUGGGGUUGCAUACCGAAAGACCCUACUCAAGUAAAUAGCGAGAAUAAACACCAUAUCAAGAAUAAACACCAUAUAAACAAGCAUCAAAACAAGAAAACAAUAAAUGUCAUUUGUACUCAUCAUUUGAUCCAUUAAAUACAAGCGAAUAAAGAUAUCAAGAACGAAUCAUCUCAGUUAAGAAAUGCGGGAGUAAUUAAGAAAAAGAACGAACAUUUCUCGCAACAGAUCAACCAUCAAGAAGAAAGGUAGCCAAGAGAGAAAAGGGCAGUUUUCAAUAGUUGUUUUUACUGUUACCAGCAGAGUUAGAUUGUAAAGGAUUGCCCAUUGAAUUCUGAGACUUGGUCUCCAGUGUGAGCAUCUUCAGAGAAAUUUUCCGUAGAUAAUCCGACUACAAAAUAAAAAAAUCCAUGCUAAAUUUAGAAUACAGUUCUAUCCAAAAUAUGAAGAAAGUUCAAACAUAUACAACAUUUUUUUAAGAAGUCAUAUAUGUAAUAGAUAGGUAAGUAUUUAAGUACACAAACAUUUCAUGCACCAUAAGAAAUAAGAACUCUGGUAUUAUGGAAGCACCUGGCUUGUGGCUGCAGUAUAAAUCUUUUCCUCAAACCUUACAGCAAUUUUACUGAGUUCCUGCAAUCCAUCUUGUCCGGAGAAGGGAAAAUGCCUCUUCAACGUAUCCAUUCUAUACAUGCAAUAAAAUCAACACCAGUUACUGACUACCAAUAUGUUUUAAGUUUGAAGUCCUCCCGCCAUAGUUUAGAUUAGAUUACGCUAAAUUAGACUACCGCUUGAAACAAAAAAAAGAAUCGACAAAGAAAAACACUUACAGAUUGUUGACAAUUCUUUGCCUUGAAUCAGCCUGCAGCUGACUCCUCCAAUCGCCGGCAUCCAUGGCGGCCUCUCCAACUUGAGAAGGCCUCCACUUAUUGGUAUCCAUCAAAUCCAAUCAACCCAACAAAACUGCCAAAAACAAAAGCACAGGACUGAGCAACUUCAACGAAAACCUACGAAAACGGCACAAAAAUUCGUACAAGAGCUAUUCGAACGACGAUACAGUUUAUAAUUACGCAGGCAGUUUUUUUGCUUCAGAAAUUGCAUUCAUUCAAGCUGAUUCUAAACACGGUUUAGGCGCCAUGAAAAAUCAAAACUUGCAAUUCACAUACAAUCGAAAACCAGAUACGAUUUACACAAUCAAAUCAAAAAAAAAAAAAACAAUAACGAAUUUCCCACAAAACCCACGAUCGAUCAACAUCUAAAACAAAAAACCCAACAAAAUUUGACCAAAAAGUUACCUCUUUUGUUUCAGAACAGGAGAAUUGAAGAUUGAAAGGUUCAGGUUGCCUGGAGUGAAACAACGGAGAAAUUGCAGAACUGGGAAAUCGGGGGAUUGGGAAAGGAAGGAGGGUUCUUGCUCAAAAGCUUCAAACUUUGACAAGAUUGAAUGGAUUGAGGGGAUGGUUUGGGAGUGACAUAAAAAAAAAAAGCACCAUGAAAAAAAGUGCGAGAGUUUUAGGUGUUUGGUAAACUGAAGAAAAAAAAGCUUAUUUUGGAAGCUGAUGUGAGAAUAAGCUGAAAUUAAAAGAAAAAGCUGAAGCUGCUAUUUGCAGCUUUGGAAAACUGGCAUUUUUUCAAAACACACAGAGCUAGAGUGCUCUUUUAAUGAAAAGACCCACUAUCAGAUUGUUUUUUUUUUUUUUCAAAAGCACUUUUACAAAAAAGUUUACCAAACACUCUACUGAUUUAUUUCACAGCUGCUUAUUCUCACAACAACUUUUUUUUCAAAGCACAGCAAUAUCAGACCAGCCCUGAUGCGUCUGAUGUGGUCUUUUUAGUUAAGUAGGAAGGGAGAGACAACAAAUAUCCCGUUUUAACCAAUGUCUGAUUUUUUAGGUUUUUUUUUAUAGAAAAACUAAUGAAAAGCGUCUGAAAUGUUUUAGUUUUAAUAAAAAAUCAUGUUAUAAGUUUUGUUUAAUGAUUAGUAUAAAACUCAUAUUAAAGUAGUCCAACUAAAAAUGGUCUAACUAUAAUAACUUAUUAUUUGUUGAUUUUACCUUUAACUUUUUUAGGUUGACUUUCAGAUUUUCGUCGUUAAUGAAGUUCAUCGUUGUUUUGCAGACUUUCUUCUUUUUCUUUGAAACAAAAAUAUAGAUCCUCAUGCAAGUUAAUUUAUAUUUUGUAUUAUUUUGUUGAAACGUGAUUGUUGUUAUUAUUCAUAAAGUAUUCGAAAUAUUGUUUUUCAAUUUUUCUUUGUUAGUGGAGUUCAUCGUUUGUUUUUACAAAAAAAAAUUUGAGAUCUGCAUGUUAUUCAAUAAUAACGAUGGUCAGUGUUUCUGGACUGUAAAAAUAAACUGUUUCUGGAUUUUAAGUAACACUGUUUCUGGAUCUAAAUGAAAUAGACACACUGUUUCUUAAAUGAAAGCUAGAAAAGAAAUAGUGAAAUUCAUUGUAUUUGAAUUCAAAGAAAAAUAAGCAUCAUGUUUUUUAAAUAUAAUCAACUGAUGCAUGCAAGAAAAGAAACAAUCAAAGGUUAAAACAUAGACUGUUUCUGGAAUUUAAAGCACUGUUUUUUGAAUUUAAGUCAUUGUUUAUGGAUUUUGGUUCUUUUAUUUUCAGAUAGAGUGUUUGUUUGUGCACAGAAAAAACAAAAAAUGUAUCUGAUUUUUUUUUUCCAAAAAUAGUGUUAUGUUUUGGGUUCUCCAGAAACAGUUUUAUGUUUUGGUUUUUUUUUUCCUAUUUACAAACGCCUGACAUGUAUGUACAUCACCGGGACCGUAGGUCCUUAUUGGAUCUGAUUGGAAUAAAAUACUAACACUAUAAAUUGUUCGUGGUGCAGAUAAGAGGAUGAGGAUGAGGACGAUGACGAGGACAAGGAGGAUAAGGGCACGAAAAAGGUAGACAAUAGUUUUGGAUGAUUUUUUAUUAAACUUUGAGCCCUUUUGGUUAAAUAAUAUUUUAGGAUGAUUUUUGGUUAAAUAUUUGUUGGCCCAAAUCAUUUUCAUUAAAGCUCCAUUUUUUUAUUUAUGUUUGAAAUUUGAAUUUUUUAGGGACAAAAUGACGAUAAAACCAUUGUCCUUAGGACUUUAUAAGUUGCCACUUACCACUUUAUCCUAAUCCUUCUAGGCUUUCUAGUCAAAUCCCAAUAGGAUAGGAAUAUUUCCGACUGUGUCAAAAGAACAAAGUAAUCUUCUUUAUAACUAGCAUCUCGGUAUGCGCUUAAAUGCGCGAAUUGACUUUUAAACACCAAUUAAUGUGUUGGCAUUUCAUUAGUUUUAUGUUUUAUAUCAUCACUUUGAAACUUAUUUAUUUGUACUAAAUAAGAAAUUGCUAUAUAUAGUUGGUGUAAUAAGUUUGUGUCUCUAACAUUAUUGAUGUAAAUAGACUGAUUUUCUUAUAUUUUUUUAAUUUUUUAUUUAUUAAUUAUAUAACUUUACACUUUAUUGCUAUUCAAAGAAGACAGAACAAGGAGGAGAUCAAUUAUUCCUCAAUUAAUCUACUUCUUGACCUUUUUGGUAUUAAGUUACAUAUAGUAAGCAUCACGUAACUUUUAUUUUCAUGUGUUAAUAAAUGUAAGAAUCCAAAUGAUUUCGUGGUUGGCAUGAAAUCUUCAAUAUAACCUCUUGUCCCAUGAGAUUUGAAACCAUUACAUCAUCCGACAAAAUGGAGAUCCAAAAACCAUUAGUACAAAGGUAGAAUACAACCAAACUCUAGGUAUAGCAAUAUUUUUUUCUCUCUAACAAAAGCCAAUACAUGCAGAUGACGCUUUAUCAUAGUGACGAAAAACAAUUAUAUCCAUGCACCCCAACCAACCUCCUCACCCCUAACAAAAGCCAAUACAUUGAUAUCCUCUACCCUUAUAAAGUCAUCACAUUUUUAUUCAGAGAAUGGAGGAGAGAAGCUGAAGUAGCAUAUGAGGCCAUGAGAACAUGUUCAACAUGGAAAUUCAGACCAACGAAGCAUAAAAACCAUAUGGCAAAGAUGAUGAUGCAUCUGGAACAAUUGACAAACUCGAUAAAAAAGAUGUGAUGUGCAAACACGACGCCCUUUCAGGUUGGAGGGGGCCUUUGUGGUCUGAGACUCGGUCUCCAUUGUGAAGUCACGGCCCAGGAUCAUGGAAGUACCUGGACUGUGGCUGCAGUAUACUAAUAAGAGAGAGAGAGAGAGAGAGAGAGAGAGCUCCUCUAAUUCAACCAUAUAAAAGUAAAACUGAUGAUAAAUCAUUCCCAUAGUCAUACAAUAAAAGUAAAUAACAUUUCUACUGUUCCAAACACACAUACAACGUCAAAAAAAUGCAGUCUCUUUAAUUAAUUAUUGGCAAAUAGCUAGAAAUCUUUCAAAAUGCGGUCCAUUCAUUUCGCGAUUGCGGUUGCGGUUUCUUCGUUUUGUUGAAGCUCGCCAGCAUCUCUACAAUGGUGCAAUCCACUUUACAAUGCACUGUGCAGUGCCCAUUGCACUUCCUUUUCCACUGCCCUGGCAUUAUCAGCAGAAUCCGCAUAUGUUUGACAAUAUUUUUCCGCGUAUGUUGCAAAUGAUAUAAAUUCUUCAGGCGUCACAUCCUUCUUGCCCUUGUUUCUUCUUCUGGCAGCAGCAGUGGCGGGAGUAGCAGCACCACACCGAUGACAACGCCCAGCCUUCCACCUCACAGCAGCAAACAGAUGCACUCAAUGCAUCUGAGCCAAUGUCACUGACAGAUGCACUCAAUGCAUUAGGUGACAUCGAUUUCACCUGCAAGUUCAAAAUCCAGAAAUUUAAUUUAAGCACAAGUGAGGGAAGGAAAAGACCAACUUAGAUGCUAAGUACUGAAACAUCAUUACAGCACUCAAAAAGAGAAAUAUGUAAUAAGAACCACUUUACUAACCGCGUUCAAGAG